AAAAGCAGUUUCAUUUCUUGUAGGCUUUCGAGUAUGGACUUUUUCCGGGCUUAGCCUUAAGUGCAUUGGAACACUAUGUAUUGAAAGGAAAAUCUUCGUUCACGCUUAAGCAUGGGAAACCUGACCAUGAAGCAACAAAUGUUGCUAUGUCACAUUCCCCAAUUGAAUACCCGAAGCCGGAUGGAGUAUUGUCCUUGGACGUGCCAACGUCUUUGCACAGGAGCAAUACAAAUCAUAACCAUGACCAGCCAGCUCAUCUUCACUUGAGGGACCUGAAUAUUCCCGAAACAGUAAACUUGCCUUUGUAUGCUGGACCUGAGUCACGAUAUUGACCUGCCCGUGUAUACGAGUAAAUUUCUUAUCAUACUUUUUAUUCCAGCU